GGACUACAAGGGUUUCUAAUCCCGUUUGCUCCCCUGGCCUUCGCGCCUCAGCGUCAGGAACUGUCCAGAGAUCCGCCUUCGCCACUGGUCUUCCUCACGAUCUCUACGCAUUUCACUGCUACACCGUGGAUUCCAAUCUCCUCUCCAGUCCUCUAGCAAAGCAGUAUCGAGUGCAGUUUCAGAGUUAAGCUCUGAGAUUUCACACCCGACUUACCCCGCCGCCUACGCGCCCUUUACGCCCAAUGAAUCCGAACAACGCUUGAGACCUCUGUAUUACCGCGGCGGCUGGCAC
rnacentral:rRNA from 1 species